rnacentral:rRNA from 1 species
UACGUAGGGUGCAAGCGUUGUCCGGAAUUAUUGGGCGUAAAGAGCUCGUAGGCGGUCUGUCGCGUCGGCUGUGAAAACCCGAGGCUCAACCUCGGGCCUGCAGCCGAUACGGGCAAACUAGAGUACUGCAGGGGAGACUGGAAUUCCUGGUGUAGCGGUGAAAUGCGCAGAUAUCAGGAGGAACACCGGUGGCGAAGGCGGUUCUCUGGGCAUUACCUGACGCUGAGGAGCGAAAGUGUGGGGAGCGAACAGG